AGAAUUCUAUAAAGGAUUUGAGACAGAAGGAGGAUAGCCAUAAAAAGAAUAAAAAAAAUGACUAGCAUAUUCUAUGACUUCAUUUAAUCCUUACAGGAGCCCUGCGAGGAAAUCCUUAUCCCCUCCACUUUUAGGAGGAGAAAGAGAGCUCCUAUACUGUGAGUGUGACCCAUGUAGCUACACUAACUUCCAUCACACCAUACUCUACAUAUAUGUGCCCAGCUUACCAAGAGUAAGAGCUAAAAUUUAAUGGAUCAAUUGCCAAAAGGCUAGAAGAAGGGGCUGUCCUCUGAACCAUCAGAAUCAGCCACUACAGGAAAUGCACGAAGUUGUGAAUUGUCCACACUGGGAAUCGUGACCUCAGGAUACCCAAAGCACUGGGAGUGAAACAAGAAAUAAAUGCUGGCUUCUGGAAGGUUCAUUUAAAUUACUUAAUGGAUUGAAACAAGCAAGUGGUUGAUUUUUCACUUCAAAAAAUUCAGGACAGUUAGAUUUCUCCUCAUCUGGGUUGAAGAGGAACAAUGGCAAGAGUAAAAAGAGGGGAAUCACUUGGAUUUCAACUCUUUCUUUCAUGUUGCUAUACGGGCAGCCUCUCUCUUACAGACAAAUGGUAUCCUGGAGAGUGACUCUUUCUUUAAGUGCACAUAUCAUGACCAACUCUUAAAGAAACUUUACCUAUGAAGGAUCUGCUUUUCAAAUGGAAACUAUGUACUGAACUAUAUAUUAUUUUAAGCAGUUGAUGUUAAAUUUAAUGUUGUUAGUAGAUGAAGGCAAUGUUAACCAAAAUUCAAACCUGUGGGCUUUCCAAGAAAGAAACGUUAAAUAAAUAUAAAUACAUUAGA